UGGGGAAUAUUGCACAAUGGGCGCAAGCCUGAUGCAGCCAUGCCGCGUGUGUGAAGAAGGCCUUCGGGUUGUAAAGCACUUUCAGCGGGGAGGAAGGGUCACUAGUUAAUACCUAGUGGCAUUGACGUUACUCGCAGAAGAAGCACCGGCUAACUCCGUGCCAGCAGCCGCGGUAAUACGGAGGGUGCAAGCGUUAAUCGGAAUUACUGGGCGUAAAGCGCACGCAGGCGGUUUGUUAAGUCAGAUGUGAAAUCCCCGAGCUCAACUUGGGAACUGCAUUUGAAACUGGCAAGCUAGAGUCUUGUAGAGGGGGGUAGAAUUCCAGGUGUAGCGGUGAAAUGCGUAGAGAUCUGGAGGAAUACCGGUGGCGAAGGCGGCCCCCUGGACAAAGACUGACGCUCAGGUGCGAAAGCGUGGGGAGCAAACA
rnacentral:rRNA from 1 species